AUACGUAGGGGGCAAGCGUUGAUCGGAAUUACUGGGCGUAAAGCGUGCGCAGGCGGUUCGGAAAGAAGGAUGUGAAAUACCAGGGCUCAACCUUGGAACUGCAUUCUUAACUACCGAACUAGAGUAUGUCAGAGGGGGGUAGAAUUCCGCGUGAAGCAGUGAAAUGCGUAGAUAUGCGGAGGAAAACCGAUGGCGAAGGUAGCCCCUUGGGAUAAUACUGACGCUCAUGCACGAAAGAGUGGGUAGCAAACAGGAUUAGAUACCCUGGUAGUCCACGCCCUAAACGAUGUCAACUAGCUGUUGGGCCCUUCGGGGCUUAGUAGCGUAGCUAACGCGUGAAGUUGACCGCCUGGGGAGUACGGUCGCAAGAUUAAAACUCAAAUGAAUUGGCGGGG
rnacentral:rRNA from 1 species